rnacentral:rRNA from 1 species
CCUGCCUUGCCUCAGUAGCGGCGAGUGAAGCGGCAAGAGCUCAGAUUUGAAAUCUCACCUAGUGUGCGAGUUGUAAAUUGCAGGUUGGAGUCUCGGGUUAGACGUGUGUGCAAGUCCCUUGGAACAGGGUGCCACUGAGGGUGAGAGCCCCGUAGCGUGCAUGUCGACACCUGUGAGGCCCUUCUGACGAGUCGAGUUGUUUGGGAAUGCAGCUCUAAGUGGGUGGUAAAUUCCAUCUAAGGCUAAAUAUUGGCGAGAGACCGAUAGCGAACAAGUACUGUGAAGGAAAGAUGAAAAGCACUUUGAAAAGAGAGUGAAACAGCACGUGAAAUUGUUGAAAGGGAAGGGUAUUGGGCUCGACAUGGGAUUUACGCAUCGUUGCCUCUCGUGGGCGGCGCUCUGGGUUUUUCCUGGGCCAGCAUCGGUUUUCGUUGCAGGAUAAGGACAAUUGGAAUGUGGCUCCUCGGAGUGUUAUAGCCUUUUGUAGAUGCUGCGUAUGGGGACCGAGGGCUGCGGCGGACUCGUUUCGUCUCGGAUGCUGGCACAACGGCGCAAUACCGCCCGUCUUGAAC